UGGGGAAUUUUGGACAAUGGGCGCAAGCCUGAUCCAGCCAUGCCGCGUGCGGGAAGAAGGCCUUCGGGUUGUAAACCGCUUUUGUCAGGGAAGAAAUCUUCUGAGUUAAUACCUCGGGAGGAUGACGGUACCUGAAGAAUAAGCACCGGCUAACUACGUGCCAGCAGCCGCGGUAAUACGUAGGGUGCAAGCGUUAAUCGGAAUUACUGGGCGUAAAGCGUGCGCAGGCGGUUUUGUAAGACAGAGGUGAAAUCCCCGGGCUCAACCUGGGAACUGCCUUUGUGACUGCAAGGCUUGAGUGCGGCAGAGGGGGAUGGAAUUCCGCGUGUAGCAGUGAAAUGCGUAGAUAUGCGGAGGAACACCGAUGGCGAAGGCAAUCCCCUGGGCCUGCAGCUGACGCUCAUGCACGAAAGCGUGGGGAGCAAACAGGAUUAGAUACCCUGGUAGUCCACGCCCUAAACGAUGUCAACUGGUUGUUGGGAAGGUUCCUUCUCAGUAACGUAGCUAACGCGUGAAGUUGACCGCCUGGGGAGUACGGCCGCAAGGUUGAAACUUAAAUGAAUUGAC
rnacentral:rRNA from 1 species